CCUACGGGAGGCAGCAGUGGGGAAUUUUGGACAAUGGGCGCAAGCCUGAUCCAGCCAUGCCGCGUGUAUGAAGAAGGCCUUCGGGUUGUAAAGUACUUUUGUCAGGGAAGAAAAGCCUGAGGAUAACACCCUCAGGUCAUGACGGUACCCGAAGAAUAAGCACCGGCUAACUACGUGCCAGCAGCCGCGGUAAU
rnacentral:rRNA from 1 species